UCAGUCAUUUUGCACACAAAUGAAUUCAUACAUCACAAUUCAGCCAGUCAGUCAGUUCGGCUGAGUGACUUAAACGACGACGCCAGUGAUUGAGUGGCUAAAAUGCCCUGUGGUCCAUUCUGCCGACAGUAUGUCCAGCCACUGUGCUGUCCAAUGACAUAAUCAAGAUUUUAGACGCUACAAUAAAAAGGAGAUAAUUAAAUUAAAAUAUGAUUCGCAU